UACGUAGGGUGCAGGCGUUAAUCGGAAUUACUGGGCGUAAAGCGUGCGCAGGCGGUUUUGUAAGCCAGAUGUGAAAUCCCCGGGCUCAACCUGGGAAUGGCAUUUGGGACUGCAAGGCUUGAGUGCGGCAGAGGAGACUGGAAUUCCUGGUGUAGCAGUGAAAUGCGUAGAUAUCAGGAGGAAUACCGAUGGCGAAGGCAGGUCUCUGGGCUGACACUGACGCUCAUGCACGAAAGCGUGGGGAGCAAACAGG
rnacentral:rRNA from 1 species